rnacentral:lncRNA from 1 species
AUGAAGGUAAAUAUUUCCUUCCUAACAACUGGCUGUCAGAAGCUCAUCGCAAGCUUCAUAUGUUCUAUGAGAAGCACAUGGUCACCGAAGUAGCUGCUGAGGGUCUGUGUGAAGACUGGAAGCAGCGCUAUGUGGUAUGAAUCAGUGGUGAGAAUGACAAACAAGGUUUCCCUACGAAGCAUGGUAUCCAGACCCACAUGGCAGAAUGAGCCUGCGGCUGAGUAAGGGCCGGUCUUGUUAUAAACCAAGGAUAACUGGAAGGAGGAAGCGCAGGUCUGUUUAUGUUCUCAACUUGGUUAGUGUUAAAAAAAAAAGAGAGAGGAGAAUAUUCCUGGACUGACAGAUACUACUGUGCUUCCUUGAUUGGAGUCCAAAAGAGCGAGUAGAAUCCAAAAGCUUUUCAGUCUCUGAAAAAAAUGAUGACUGCCGACAUGUUGUCAAAAAUCCCUUAAACCAAGAAGGUAAGAAGCCUAGGAUCAAAGAUUCAUCGUCGUGUUAUUCAAGAUGUUCUGCAACAUAACCACCAAAGUACAAACCACACACUAAGAAAAACAAGGAGGCUUCAGAAUGUGCUAAAUUUUUGGCCAAGAGAAUAAAGGAAGCCAAAGAAAACUGCUAGGAGCAGAUUGCCAAGAGACGUAGGCUGUCCUCUCUGAGAGCUUCUCUUUCUAAGUCUGAGUCCAGUGAAAA